ACUUAGGGUGCCUCGUCGCGCCCGACCUCCAACCCUUUGCUUACUUGACCUAUUUUGUUGCUUCGGCAGGCCCGCCGCCCGGAAACGGGUGGCCGCCGGGGGCGUUUCACCGCCCCGGGCCCGCGCCUGUCGAUGGCCCUAUUAAAACUCUUGUCAAAACGUGUCGUCUGAGUUUAUCUAAACAAAUAAAAACCAAAACUUUCAACAACGGAUCUCUUGGUUCUGGCAUCGAUGAAGAACGCAGCGAAAUGCGAUAAGUAAUGCGAAUUGCAGAAUCCGUGAGUCAUCGAAUCUUUGAACGCACAUUGCGCCCUCUGGUAUUCCGGAGGGCAUGCCUGUUCGAGCGUCAUUAUCACCCCUCAAAGCCCGGCUUGUUGUUGGAUGCAGCGCUUAUCCCGCUCCUCCCAAAGAUAAUGACGGCGUCUGCGACGACUCCUGUACACUGAGCUUUCGGGCACGUUCACGGCUAGAAGUCCCGACCCGGUCGCCGUCCCCCCCCGCGGGGACACCCUUUACCCCAAGGUUGACCUCGGG
rnacentral:rRNA from 1 species